GCAUAUGAAUUAGUCUAAGUUUUCAAUUGGGUUUAGUGCAAAAGUGUUUGUGCUAACCCUUGACUUGUUGCCUUGAUCAAAUAUAAUUGGAUUUGAACUCAUAUUUAAAUAGGUAGCUUAUCUAAUUUUUAUAGAAGAAUUCCAUAUGAAAUCAACCUCCUCCACACCAAACUCCAUGCAUAAAAUAAAGGCACGCCCAAAAAUAAAUGGUGAUG
rnacentral:lncRNA from 1 species